AAAUUGAAGAGUUUGAUCAUGGCUCAGAUUGAACGCUGGCGGCAGGCCUAACACAUGCAAGUCGAACGGUAACAGGAAGCAGCUUGCUGCUUCGCUGACGAGUGGCGGACGGGUGAGUAAUGUCUGGGAAACUGCCUGAUGGAGGGGGAUAACUACUGGAAACGGUGGCUAAUACCGCAUAACGUCGCAAGACCAAAGAGGGGGACCUUCGGGCCUCUUGCCAUCAGAUGUGCCCAGAUGGGAUUAGCUUGUUGGUGAGGUAAUGGCUCACCAAGGCGACGAUCCCUAGCUGGUCUGAGAGGAUGACCAGCCACACUGGAACUGAGACACGGUCCAGACUCCUACGGGAGGCAGCAGUGGGGAAUAUUGCACAAUGGGCGCAAGCCUGAUGCAGCCAUGCCGCGUGUAUGAAGAAGGCCUUCGGGUUGUAAAGUACUUUCAGCGGGGAGGAAGGUGUUGCGGUUAAUAACCGCAGCAAUUGACGUUACCCGCAGAAGAAGCACCGGCUAAC
rnacentral:rRNA from 1 species